AGAGUUUGAUCCUGGCUCAGGACGACCGCUGGCGGCGUGCUUAACACAUGCAAGUCGAACGGGAGUACUUUGAAAGCUUGCUGAUAAGUACUUUAGUGGCGGACGGGUGAGUAACGCGUGAGGAGCUGUCUUAUGCAGGGGGAUAACAGUUGGAAACGGCUACUAAUACCCCAUAAGCCGAGAGGUAAAAGGAGCAAUCCGGCAGAGGAGGUACUCGCGUCCUAUCAGCUAGUAGGUUGGGUAACGGCCGACCUAGGCGAAGACGGGUAGCCGGCCUGAGAGGGUAAUCGGCCACAUUGGAACUGAGACACGGUCCAAACUCCUACGGGAGGCAGCAGUGGGGAAUAUUGCACAAUGGGCGCAAGCCUGAUGCAGCAAUGCCGCGUGAGUGAUGAAGGCC
rnacentral:rRNA from 1 species